rnacentral:tRNA from 1 species
GGACAAAUAGUUUAACAAAAACAUAACACUGAAAAUGUUAAAAUGACAUAGUCUUUUUCCA